rnacentral:rRNA from 1 species
GAUGAACGCUAGCUACAGGCUUAACACAUGCAAGUCGAGGGGUAACGAGAGGAAAGCUUGCUUUCCUUGUCGACGACCGGCGCACGGGUGAGUAACGCGUAUCCAACCUGCCCCCAACUAAGGAAUAACCUUGCGAAAGUAAGACUAAUACCUUAUAAUUACCUCAGAUGUCAUCUGACGAGGAAUAAAGAUUUAUCGGUUGUGGAUGGGGAUGCGUCUGGUUAGCUUGUUGGCGGGGUAACGGCCCACAAAGGCAACGAUCAGUAGGGGUUCUGAGAGGAAGGUCCCCCACAUUGGAACUGAGACACGGUCCAAACUCCUACGGGAGGCAGCAGUGAGGAAUAUUGGUCAAUGGGCGGAAGCCUGAACCAGCCAAGUAGCGUGCAGGAUGACGGCCCUAUGGGUUGUAAACUGCUUUUAUACAGGAAUAAAGUUAGCCACGUGUGGUUAUUUGUAGGUACUGUAUGAAUAAGGACCGGCUAAUUCCGUGCCAGCAGCCGCCGUAA